AGCUGGAACCUGGGAACACUCCUCAUAAAACACAAUGUACUUGUUGCAUUGUAAAAAGAUUGACAUCUACGCUAAUAUUAGUCGUUUCUUUCUUAUUCUGUUUCUCGGUUUGUAACUCUGUAAUAGUUGGCUUAGUUUUGUGAAUUCAUGUGUCUAUCCUUUCUUCCAGGUUGGAUAGCAGUAGCAGAGUCUCAGUGGCGUGCCUGAGUAUGCAGACUAGAUCACGAGAGAACUUUUGAGUAAGAAAACAGACUUGGGUUAGGUACAUAACACAAAGCAACUGCAAGACCAGACAAUGAGAGUGUGGAGUGAGCGUGUUCUUAUGUAGAGCUUGAUUGGCAUCAACAGGUGAGGGGCAUUCACUGAUAGGAGUACAAGUGUAAGUGCAGAGGCAGCUCAAUUGGUGACUGUGUAAAAAACCAUUUUAAAAUUAAUUACCCAUAAUAUGUCAUUAAAAUUUAGUGAUGCAUGGCAAGAUAUAUAAACUAUUGUUGCACUGAAUUACAUCUUAGUCUUUGUCUUCUGUGGUGUAAUGGAAGAGGCUAGACACAAAGGUAAAACAAAUAAUGUUUAUUGCACAGAUGGUUCAACAGAGUAAUGCACAAGUAUUACAGUCUUUGGAGAUCUUUCUUGGGAGUUGGAGCAGAGAAUAACUGGGUAUCUUGUAUAUAUUGGUAUUCAGGAGAACAGGAGACACAUUGGGGGAGCACAAACACCUCAGUAUGUCGACAACUGGAGAGAACUUGGGAGACAUGGAGCUUGGGAGACUACGGAUAAACACAAGAAGACCUCAUGGAACAAUCACACAAACAAACUGCAGAAGUUUAUUACAAAAAGGAGUUUCAAAAGAGUCCCCUCUCCCAUCUGCGGUCUUAAAGCUAUUAAUGAUCAAAUAAGGACCGACAGUGCUCAAAUAGUUUGGACCUAUGUCCUGGCAAAGAGGAUGGUUGCUCAAAACGCUCCUGUUCAUCAAAAUUAAACCAAUCAGCCCUAUGGCGCGACACCUUGGAAAACAAAGUGAAGCUGAAUUGAUCACAAGACCGGGUCUUUGUAUUAAGGAGAACCUUGUCGUCCAGUGAAACUGUGCAAUGCCGCAGGACACAUUAAUAAUUCAUGAUUCUGCUUCCUAUCUGCUUGGGACUUUAACCAUUCUUACAUACAACAAACUGAACAUUUCAAUAAAUAAUAUUAAAGCACACAUGCUAUGUUAUAAUACACUUGCUAUGCCUUAUAUGUGCUUGUUGGAACUUAAUCGAUGCAUUAUACAUUUUUACCUCUAUGAAUUAGUGUAAUCAUUAUUUUAGUAGGAUAUAUUAGUAAUGUACUGUAUGUACAAGAGAUGCUGUUUCUGCUCUUGAAAGAAAGCUAAGCUUAUUGGCUACCACUUGGAGUGAGUGAAAUGUCAGAAUUUGUGUUGUGUACAUAUCAUGACACUUUCUAAAGUUAUUGACCAAAAGUUGCAAAAAAAGAAACAGCAAUAGUAUGGAAACAGCAAUAGCGUCUGAUUGGAGGACUGUCCAAAUCUUCUCCUUAAAACUGCACCGUUUGAACAGAGACUUUGCUUUUUAAGUAUGCUUUUAGCUGGCUUCUAAGUUUGCUUCUAGCCCAACUUUAUAGUUAUGCUGUUAACCACAAUUUUAACAUCAGGGCUUUUAACCUGCUCGCUUUUAGCCACCAGCAUUUUAGCUGAUGGAGCUUGCUUUUAACACCGCCCAAAUGUUUACGCAAAGAAGGCGGUACUAUUAUUCUUGCUGUAGUGUUGCUGCUGUCGCUAUGUGCUAGAUGUGCUGUUUGACGUUUUGUAAACUACUUUGUGCUUCCAAAAGAGGACACAACUAAAAAUAAGUGGUUACUGAUUUCAACUCUGUUUUAGUGCAGUUCAGCCCAAAUGUUAGAGGGUGUUUAAUGCAUUUAAGUAGGACUGUUUUCUUAAAACCAAAAGAGCAGCCUAUGUUGGCAAUACACAGAAACUAUAUUCCAACUGUACAAGGACAGUCUAUAGCGCUUCUCACUCAAAACGUUUAAGUAAGUUUUCUUAUUAAAAUAACCCACUACUUACUAUUUGAACUAUUUAAACAUGAGUUACAUUGAGCGGUAAAAUGUAGUGCUGUUUGUCAUUUCCCCAGUCACAAAUGCAGCCAUGGUGUUUACAUGGUGCAACGCAUAAAGAGAAAGGCUUUUCACACUGUGCUUAACCCCGGGUUAUCAUCAAUCUAAGCAUCGUUUUUUAAUACCGAUAAAGGCUUGUUUCACACCUGAAAGCAGUGCAAGGACCACAAUGUAUCCGGGGUUAUGAAACCCUGCUUGGAGCAGGGUUAGCACUGCAUUUGUGGUGUUAACCCCACAUUGUGGUGAUAAGUUUGUUCAGUGUGAAACGGUAAGGUGUUUGCUUGUUGCUGCUGAACCCUUGGCAGCCAAUCAGAAACUGAACAGCAAAGCUUGUGUCACGUCAGUAACUGAAAACGUGCUUCG